CAGCCGCCGCGGUAAUACCGGCGGCCCGAGUGGCGGUCACUAUUAUUGGGCUUAAAGCGUCCGUAGCCGGGUUGGGAAGUCCUCCGGGAAAUCUGGCCGCUUAACGGUCAGAAUGCCGGAGGAUACUCCCAGCCUAGGGAGCGGGAGAGGCCGAGGGUAUUCCCGGAGUAGGGGUGAAAUCCUGUAAUCCCGGGAGGACCACCUGUGGCGAAGGCGCUCGGCUGGAACGGGUCCGACGGUGAGGGACGAAGGCCAGGGGAGCGAACCGGAUUAGAUACCCGGGUAGUCCUGGCUGUAAACGAUGCGGACUAGGUGUCGGGCAAGCUAAGGGCUUGUCCGGUGCCGCAGGGAAGCCGUUAAGUCCGCCGCCUGGGGAGUACGGCCGCAAGGCUGAAACUUAAAGGAAUUGGCGGG
rnacentral:rRNA from 1 species